rnacentral:misc_RNA from 1 species
GGUGUAAGUUGGUCUUUCAAUAUCCAACGAUCUCCUACAGAUAUCAUAAAUGGCUUCAUUGUCCAGAAGAACAGCGACAUCUGUGUGUUCUAGCAGAGAAUGAGUGGAAAGCACACUGUUGUAGGGUUCUACCACAGCAGUAGAUACCUGUGGAGAAGGAUAUAUGGAAAAUCCAAGCUUUGACUUCUUUCCAUAAUCCACAGACAAGCGUUCCAAAAGUAAUGACCCCAAU